rnacentral:rRNA from 1 species
UACGUAGGGUGCAAGCGUUAUCCGGAAUUAUUGGGCGUAAAGGGCUCGUAGGCGGUCUGUUGCGUCGGGAGUGAAAACUCAGGGCUUAACCCUGAGCCUGCUUCCGAUACGGGCAGACUAGAGGUAUGCAGGGGAGAACGGAAUUCCUGGUGUAGCGGUGAAAUGCGCAGAUAUCAGGAGGAACACCGGUGGCGAAGGCGGUUCUCUGGGCAUUACCUGACGCUGAGGAGCGAAAGUGUGGGGAGCGAACAGG